CCCGCAACGAGCGCAACCCUUAUCCUUUGUUGCCAGCACUUCGGGUGGGAACUCAAAGGAGACUGCCGGUGAUAAACCGGAGGAAGGUGGGGAUGACGUCAAGUCAUCAUGGCCCUUACGAGUAGGGCUACACACGUGCUACAAUGGCAUAUACAAAGAGAAGCAAACUCGCGAGAGCCAGCGGACCUCAUAAAGUAUGUCGUAGUCCGGAUUGGAGUCUGCAACUCGACUCCAUGAAGUCGGAAUCGCUAGUAAUCGUAGAUCAGAAUGCUACGGUGAAUACGUU
rnacentral:rRNA from 1 species